rnacentral:rRNA from 1 species
UAGGGAAUCUUCGGCAAUGGACGAAAGUCUGACCGAGCAACGCCGCGUGAGUGAAGAAGGUUUUCGGAUCGUAAAACUCUGUUGUUAGAGAAGAACAAGGACGUUAGUAACUGAACGUCCCCUGACGGUAUCUAACCAGAAAGCCACGGCUAACUACGUGCCAGCAGCCGCGGUAAUACGUAGGUGGCAAGCGUUGUCCGGAUUUAUUGGGCGUAAAGCGAGCGCAGGCGGUUUCUUAAGUCUGAUGUGAAAGCCCCCGGCUCAACCGGGGAGGGUCAUUUGAAACUGGGAGACUUGAGUGCAGAAGAGGAGAGUGGAAUUCCAUGUGUAGCGGUGAAAUGCGUAGAUAUAUGGAGGAACACCAGUGGCGAAGGCGGCUCUCUGGUCUGUAACUGACGCUGAGGCUAGAAAGCGUGGGGAGCAAACAGG